GUUGUCAGUGAUGUUUUACUACAUUUGUUCGAGUUUCAAUGACCAUGAGACUAUCUACAUGCACUACCAUCUGAGACAUC